GCCCUGGUGGCACAAUGGUUAAGCACUCAGCUGUUAACUGAGAGACUGGUGGUUCAAAUCCACCUAGUGGCU
rnacentral:tRNA from 1 species